AUACGGAGGAUCCGAGCGUUAUCCGGAUUUAUUGGGUUUAAAGGGUGCGCAGGCGGCCAUUUAAGUCAGCGGUUAAAUCGUGGGGCUCAACCCCAUUCUGCCGUUGAUACUGGGUGGCUUGAUUGCGGUCGAGGUUGGCGGAAUUCGUUGUGUAGCGGUGAAAUGCAUAGAUAUGACGAAGAAAACCGAUUGCGUAGGCAGCUGACCAGACCGCAAAUGACGCUCAUGCACGAAAGUGCGGGGAUCGAACAGGAUUAGAUACCCUGGUAGUCCGCACAGUAAACGAUGAAUACUUGUUUUCGGCGAUAUAAUGUCGGAGGCAAAGCGAAAGCGAUAAGUAUUCCACCUGGGGAGUACGCCGGAAACGGUGAAACUCAAAGGAACUGACGGG
rnacentral:rRNA from 1 species